rnacentral:lncRNA from 10 species
AUCAGAGCUCUUGGGUAACCAGGUGCACUGUCAAUGAGCACUGUCUUGAAAGGAAUUUUUUUCUGAGCCGUAGUUCUCAACAGUGGGCUUAAAAUAUUCAGUAAACUAUGCUAUAAACAAAUGUGCUGUCAUCCAGGCUUUGUCAUUUCAUUUAUAGAGCAAAGGCAGAGUAGAUUUAGCAUAAUUCUUAAGGGCCCUAAGGCUUCCAAAAAGGUAAAUGAGCAUUGGCUUCAACUUAAAGACACUAGCCACAUUAGCCACUAACAGGAGAGUCAGACUGUCCUUCAAAGUGUUGAAGCCAGGCAUUAACUUCUCCUCUCUAGCUAUCAAAGUCCUCAAUGGCAUCUUCUUCCAAUAUAAGGCUAUUUCAUUUACAGUGAAAAUCUGUAGUUAGUGUAGUCACCUUCAUCAUGAUCUUAGCUAGAUCUUCUGGGUAACUUACUGCAGUUUUUUCAUCAGCACUUGCACUUUUAUGUUAUAGAGACAGCUACUUUCCUU